UGACCCGGACAUGAUUUGAACACGCAACCUUCUUAUCUGGAGUCAGACGCGCGACUGUUGCGCCAACGAGUC
rnacentral:tRNA from 1 species